GAUGAACGCUAGCGGCAGGCUUAAUACAUGCAAGUCGAGGGACAGCACAGGUAGCAAUACUGGGUGGUAACCGGCAAACGGGUGCGGAACACGUACACAACCUUCCUUUAAGUGGGGGGUAGCCCAGAGAAAUUUGGAUUAAUACCCCGUAAUAUAGUUGAAUGGCAUCAUUUGAUUAUUAUAGCUACGGCGCUUAAUGAUGGGUGUGCGGCUGAUUAGAUAGUUGGCGGGGUAACGGCCCACCAAGUCUACGAUCAGUAGCUGAUGUGAGAGCAUGAUCAGCCACACGGGCACUGAGACACGGGCCCGACUCCUACGGGAGGCAGCAGUAAGGAAUAUUGGUCAAUGGACGCAAGUCUGAACCAGCCAUGCCGCGUGAAGGAUUAAGGUCCUCUGGAUUGUAAACUUCUUUUAUUUGGGACGAAAAAGGGCCUUUCUAGGUCAACUGACGGUACCAGAAGAAUAAGCACCGGCUAACUCUGUGCCAGCCGCCGCCGUAAUAC
rnacentral:rRNA from 1 species